GGGAGAGUAGUGCAACCAUCAAUUACCGCGUUAACACGACGUUUAUGGGACGGUCGUAAUCAUUUGACACGUGUCUCGCUAACGACGGCCUCAAAGUAAAUAAAUAAAGGCAGUUGCUGAGUGACACACGGCUGAGCUCUGAUUGGUUGCUUUCUUGACUCUUGUGACUAACACGUGGGACCCUGGUAUUCGUGGAGUUACAUAAUACACGGCUUUCAAGAAAAGUUUGAUUGGACAGCUGGGGCCCCCGAUGGCCGGCGAAUCUUCGUCGUUCUUGACUUGUUGCAGAUGGGGGAGAGGAGUUAGGGGAAUUGUAGUGUCGACGCGUGUACAGUGAAGGUGGGGUCAGGAUGCUGUUUGGGGACCAGUUUUAGAGAUAAUGUAAAAAGUCCAAACCAAACCAAACUCUCUCUCUGAAAAGGAAAAGAUUAGAUUGAGAAAGUUUCGCAGGGAUGAAAGGUGGGCGUUCCGCGUGAGGUGGCACGUGGGAUGGAGGCGUUUGUCUGGGAUACCAUUCACCUUUGCCUAACUCACCCUUUUUCUUUCUUUCUUUCAAAUAUUCCUGCAUAAAUAAUAAGUCAUUCUGUUUGCUUUUUGUUCAUUGCUACAAUUCUCUCUGUAUUGGGGCGUUUCUGGGCUGAACAAUAACGUAGUUGGCCUUAAGUAUUUGUAACAUGUAAUUUUGAUUAAUAAAAUAUUCACUUUACAUUUA
rnacentral:lncRNA from 1 species